rnacentral:rRNA from 1 species
AACGAACGCUGGCGGCAGGCCUAACACAUGCAAGUCGAGCGAACCCUUCGGGGUUAGCGGCGGACGGGUUAGUAACGCGUGGGAAUAUACCCUUUGGUACGGAAUAGCCUCGGGAAACUGAGAGUAAUACCGUAUGUGCCCUUCGGGGAAAGAUUUAUCGCCAAAGGAUUAGCCCGCGUUGGAUUAGGUAGUUGGUGGGGUAAUGGCCUACCAAGCCUACGAUCCAUAGCUGGUUUGAGAGGAUGAUCAGCAACACUGGGACUGAGACACGGCCCAGACUCCUACGGGAGGCAGCAGUGGGGAAUCUUAGACAAUGGGCGCAAGCCUGAUCUAGCCAUGCCGCGUGGACGAUGAAGGCCUUAGGGUUGUAAAGUCCUUUCAGAUGGGAAGAUAAUGACGGUACCAUCAGAAGAAGCCCCGGCUAACUCCGUGCCAGCAGCCGCGGUAAAG